GGCAAAUCAUUUUAGACCAAACACACCAUUCCACACAUGUUAGGGCAAAUCAUUUCAGCCUCCCAAAUCGCCUCCAUCUCUAUAUUCUCGUUCUCAACUCUGAACUUGCUCUCUCUCUGUCUCUGCAACUGCAAACUACAAAAUCUACAAGAAUCAGAUCAGCCUCCCAAAUCGUCUCCAACUCUAUUCUCGUUCUCAACUCUGAACUUGCCCUCUCUAUGUCUCUGCAAUUACAAACUACAAAAUCUACAAGAAUCAGAACCCAUUUCGGCAUAUCAUUUCAGAUUGUUUAAAAAAUUAAAACCCAUAUCCUUCAGUUUCCAUCGCCCGCUGUUCCAGUUUGGGUUCGCUGUUCGAAAGCUUCAGCAAUCGACCAAAAUUGCAUAACUCUACAGGUAAAUUUCUAGGGUUUUUGAGCCUUGUCUCACAUGGUGAUUGAUUAGCAAAAAAAUCCUAGCGAUAUCUGUUUUAUCUCUCUAGGGUUUUUAUCUCAGAUGGAAGGCGUCGAUGAUGAUUUCGGCGAUAUAUAUGUAGACGUUGAAGUUCAAGCAAGUACAGCCAUCAAUGACUUCCCAAACCGCACUCAAUCAUACACAAUUUAAGGAGUGGAGGGUUUGAUGAUGAUGAAGAGGAGGAAGGUUGUGAUUUUACAGCUGCAGAGGGGAAUGGUUCGGGUAAGAAUCGGAAAUGGGUUGAUCAAUCCCAGUUGGGCGAUGGAUUGGAACAGUGUUCUAAUGGUAUUGGUGGCGGUGAGAGGGGAAAUCUGGUGAAGGGUGGUUAUCAUUCACAAUACAAGUACUUCAGAUAUCAGACGGCAGCUUAUCCUUGUAAUUCAAAAGCCAAUGGAUCCAUGGUUUCAGCUUCCUACUCUUCCACCUUGGCUAGAGGCAAUUGGGACAAUAAUGGGUCCAGUCAACAUAUGGGCUCAAGCUCAGUAGUAACUCAAAGUGGAUACAAUUUCUCUCUUCCCUGGUAUAGGACUAUAGUAGAUGUAAAUAUUGCUAUGUUCAAACAGAGGCCAUGGAGGCAUACUGGAACUGAUAUAACAGAUUUUUUUUUUUUAAUUUUGGGUUCAACGAGGAAAGUUGGAAAAGUUAUUGCAACUGUCUGGUAAAUGAAUAUUCGUUUAAUUUUACCUUCUAGUAAAUUUACAUUGCUUGUCCGUAAAUACCAAGGUUGGUCUUCUUGGGCAUACACAUGUAUAUUAGCUGGGGUGAGGUUCUACUCCAUUUCCAGUUGAUUUGUUGUUAUGCUGUUGAUGCACUCAGCAUACAACCAACCUGGUUUACUUUAGUUUACUUUCCUCCCUACUCUUCCUUCUUACCUGAUUUUUAAUUGCAUGGCUCAUCAAGUGCAUCAAAAUUUGUAAGUCACUGCAUUUCUUUUAUGAUUACACAUUUUUAAUGCC